UAAUAGCUCACUGGUCGAGUGAUCCUGCGCCGAAGAUUUCCGGGGCUAAAACUUACUACCGAAGCUACGGCAUCAGUAAUGAUGGGUAGGGGAGCUUCCCAUACGGGUGGAAGCAUGACCUUAAGGAAAUGUGGACAGUAUGGGAGUGAGAAUGUUGGCAUGAGUAGCGAGAUGUGGGUGAGAAUCCCACAGGCCGUAAACCCAAGGUUUCCAGGGGAAGGUUCGUCC
rnacentral:rRNA from 1 species